GGUAAACGGAAAAAAAGUCACAGGAAAAAAAGUCACGGGAAAAAAAGUCACAAAAUUACUAGGAAAAAAAGUCACAGGAAAAAAAGUCACAAGAAAAAAAGUCACAGGAAAAAAAGUCACAAUAUUUUUUAGUAAAAUUAUUUAUCAGAAGUAUGUUGGAAUGCACAUGAAAAGGUAACUAUGUACAUGUAUGCAAUAAAUGAUUCAACUGGAGUUUUUGAAUGCAUAGAAAAAAGCCAUAAUAUACUUGUAUCAGAUUACUUACUCUUAGUGGUAAAGUUUAAUCUUUAAAAACCAUAAAGGAAGUAUAUAUAAACUAAUAAAAGCGUAAUAUAAUAUGUUCUUUUUUUCAAAAUUGACUUUUUAUCAAACAGGGAAAGCUGAUUGUUUCCUUUCAUUUAAUAUUGAGCUUAGUUGUAUUUCAUUGGUGUGACUUCCAACGAAGACAGGAAGUGGCAGGUCUACAAAAGGGGGAAGGUGUCACAAGAAGCCACACAUCAAUAUCAACAGUCCCUCUUAGUAUUAAUGGGAAUGAGUUGUUUGUUUAACACUGAAUUGAAGGAAUUAUACUUUAUCUUCAAAAAUCAAAAUAACUUGUGAUCAAGUCAUAUACUGAACCUCUAACUUGAAUUCACAUUGAAGGAAAUUGUUGCUGUUUAACUCACAUCUCUUUCAUUUCAUAAGAGAUAUAAAACAAAAAUAAUUACAACAAAUCCUUGAAAACAUGCAUGUAUCAAUA
rnacentral:lncRNA from 1 species